ACAUCGGUAGCACAGUGGUUAGUGCAGUCUGCCGGAAACAGAAAGACACGGGUUCAAUUCCCGUCCGAUGUG
rnacentral:tRNA from 1 species